UAGGAUGAGAGAAGUGUAUGAUGAGAGAAGUGUAUGAUGAGAGAAGUGUAGGAUGAGAGAAGUGUAGGAUGAGAGAAGUGUAUGAUGAGAGAAGUGUAGGAUGAGAGAAGUGUAUGAUGAGAGAAGAGUAUGAGGAGAGAAGUGUAUGAGGAGAGAAGUGUAUGAGGAGAGAAGUGUACGAUGAGAGAAGUGUAUGAUGAGAGAAGUGUAUGAGGAGAGAAGUGUAUGAGGAGAGAAGUGUAUGAGGAGAGAAGUGUAUGAGGAGAGAGGUGUAUGAUGAGAGAAGUGUAUGAGGAGAGAAGUGUAUGAGGAGAGAAGUGUAUGAGGAGAGAAGUGUAUAAGGAGAGAAGUGUAUGAGGAGAGAAGUGUAUGAUGAGAGAAGUGUAUGAUGAGAGAAGUGUAUGAGGAGAGAAGUGUAUUAGGAGAGAAGUGUAUGAUGAGAGAAGUGUAUGAAAUCAUAACAGAAAUGGAAAUUUUGAAUUACUCAUUUAUUAUUUUACUUUCUCUAACUUAAUAUUUGAACUUUUAAUGAAGCGACUCAAAGGGAAUAAAACAGAAUAUUGGGCUUCUAUACUGUAUCAUUUACAAGAACGUAUUGACAAGAGAAGUACACUUUGCCAUUGUUUCUCUGCUUCUCAAAAUCACCAUUGCAUUGAGGUUUAUGUAUUCAGGACAUGAACACUAUUUUAGUAGAACCUAAGGUUACAGACAGUCUCAAUAUUCUUCUUACAUGUCAAUACUCUUUUCUAACUAUUGCUCACUGGUGGCCCCGCUCGAGUUUCAUCAAGUUGUGACAAUAUGCCAUGAGUGGAGCCACAGAUCCCAGAGCUGCCCUGAGGAGCAGGGCCGGAGGAAUGCGGUUGGACACAGUUCACCUGGAAACUUACAUAGAGCAUUAAGACAAGUAUAAACGUACAUCAAGCACUACUAGAAUGAACUGUGACAUGUAAACCUUAUACAAAUAAAACAAUCCGCAAGUUUGUUUUCAGAGAAAAAGUGUUUUCCUUGUUAUCUGUGCAUUUAGUGCACAAUUGCGUUGUUACACUGUAGUAAAUAUUUGUUGGGGGCUACAUUAUGUACACACUAAUAUAGACACAAUAUGAAUUUAUGAAAAACAUAUUUAUUACUUUGCUGUUCCUGAUGAUAGCCUGUUUCAAAAGUGUGUGUACGAGUGUGUGUGUGUAACUGCCCUCAUAUACACUAUAUAUACAGAAGUAUGUGGACAGCCCUUCAAAUUAGUGGAUUCGGCUAUUUCAGCCACACCGUUACUGACAGGUGUAUAAAAUCGAGCACACAGCCAUGCAAUCUCUAGAGACAAACAUUGGCAGUAGAAUGGCCUUACUGAAGAGUUCAGUGACUUUCAACAUGGCACCAUCAUAUGAUGCCACCUUUCCAACAAGUCAGUUCGUCACAUUUCUGCCCUGCUAGAGCUGCCCCGGUUAACUGUAAGUGCUGUUACUGUGAAGUGGAAACGUCUAGAAGCAACAAUGGCACAGCCACGAAGUGGUAGGUUACACAACAUCAGCACAAGAACUGUUCUUCGGGAGCUUCGUGAAAUGAGUUUCCAUGGCUGAGCAGCCGCACACAAGCCUAAGCGCACCAUGAGCAAUGUCAAGCGCCGGCUAGAAUGGUGUAAAGCUCGCCGCCAUUGGACUCUAGAGUAGUGGAAUCGCGUUCUCUAGAGUGAUGAAUCAUGCUUCACCAACUGGCAGUCCAACGGGAAAAUCUGGGUUUGGCGGAAGCUAGGAGAACGCUAGCUACCCCAAUGCAUAGUGCCAACUGUAAAGUUUGGUGGAGGAGGAAUAAUGGCCUGGGACUGUUUUUCAGUGAAAAUAAAUCUUAACGCUACAGCUUACAAUGACAUUAUAGAAGAUUCUGUGUUUCCAACUUCGUGGCAACAGUUUGGGGAAGGCCCUUUCCUGUUUUAGCAUGACAAUGCCCCUGUGCACAAAGAGAGAUCCAUACAGAAAUGGCUUGUCGAGAUCAGUGUGGAAAAACUUCACUGGCCUGCACAGAGCCUUGACCUCAAUCCCAUCGAACACCUUUGGGAUGAAUUGGAACGCCGACUGUGAGCCAGGCCUAAUCGCCCAACAUCAGUGCCCGACCUCACUAAUGCUCUUGUAGCUGAAUGGAAGCAAGUCCCUGCAGCAAUGUUCCAACAUCUAGUGGAAAGCCUACCCAGAAGAGUGGAGGCUGUUAUAGCAGCAAGGGGGGGACCAACUCCAUAUUAAUGCCCAUGAUGUUUGAAUGAGAUGUUCGACGAGCAGGUGUCCACUUAGUUUUGGUCAUAUAGUGUAGUUGUGUGUAUACACACACACGCUAUAUUUUUUCAUCCUCCAGAACAUCUGCAUGUUCCAGGGCUCCAAGCAGAUAUUAUUACAUUUGAAUUACAUUACAAAUGGCCAGGAGCUGGGAGAGAUAUAGUGAGCAUGUCUCUAUUCCCUCCAUUUUGUGUUCCUCGGGCUUAUUCCAAGGCAUUUUGUGAGAUAUGGCUUUUUCCACCCUUGUUCAUCCUCAAGCUCAUCU
rnacentral:lncRNA from 1 species